GUUGAACGCUGGCGGCAGGCUUAACACAUGCAAGUCGAGCGGAGAUGAGGUGCUUGCACCUUAUCUUAGCGGCGGACGGGUGAGUAAUGCUUAGGAAUCUGCCUAUUAGUGGGGGACAACAUUCCGAAAGGAAUGCUAAUACCGCAUACGUCCUACGGGAGAAAGCAGGGGAUCUUCGGACCUUGCGCUAAUAGAUGAGCCUAAGUCGGAUUAGCUAGUUGGUGGGGUGAAGGCCUACCAAGGCGACGAUCUGUAGCGGGUCUGAGAGGAUGAACCGCCACACUGGGACUGAGACACAGCCCGGACUCCUACGGGAGGCAGCAGUGGGGAAUAUUGGACAAUGGGGGAAACCCUGAUCUAGCCAUGUCGCGUGUGUGAAGAAGGCCUUAUGGUUGUAAAGCACUUUAAGCGAGGAGGAGGCUACUGAGACUAAUACUCUUGGAUAGUGGACGUUACUCGCAGAAUAAGCACCGGCUAACUCUGUGCCAGCCGCCGCAGUAA
rnacentral:rRNA from 1 species